CCUUCUAGGAAUGCCUGGAAAACACUAUGACAUCAGGUGGGGGUAAUCAGAGGAGUGGUCAGAGCUCAACACAACAUACUGAGCCAGUAAUGUAAUGGUUACACAUAUUUCUGCCUUUAUAUUUACGGAAGAUUUUACUUGAUUUCUUUUUUCUGUCUUUCUACAAGCACUCACUGAUAUGACUGAGUCAACAGAAGCCUAAUCUUGAACAGCAGGAGAAAGAUUUCAGUUGAGGGAUCCCUGCUGUAUGAAUGGAAAAAUCUUGAUGAAAUAAUACAACCAAAAGACUAAACCAAGUGUUAAAGAAGCUGAAUGAGAAUCCAGUUUCAGAGGUGGAUGCAUAUUAUCCAAAAUAAAACAGAGUACGUGAACUGCAGGGCUACAAAUCCUGGCCAGGUCUCUACUCCCAAUGCAAUGGUUUAUCUUGUGCCACAGCAUGAAAUCCAGAA